GCAGUGACAGUCACGUGACCCGGCCCAGCGACCGCGCCCCGCGGGGUCUUUUCAGGCGCUUCCCGGCAACAGGGGCCCCAGAAUUAAGUCGGGCCACCGCGCCCUGGUGUCUGGGGUGGCAGUCCGCUUGCCCCAGCUCCUUGGGCUCCAAAACGGCUAGGGGCGUAGAGAAAGAAUAAAACGUCCAAGUUGGCAGAUUAUCUUUUGAGUCCCAUUUCUCGGAUGGGCAAGUUGGGCUUCCGAGCCCCAAGGAAAACUUUCAAGUGGCGAGGCUAGCGGCCCUUCCUGCGGCCCGCUGCCCUUCGGGGAGUGCGUCCCGUGACGCGACCAUCCGCCCGAUCCAGAGGCCGCCAGCCAAGCGGACGGGACGCCCCGGCUAGGUUAGCGACCCCCAAGCUGUCCGGAGGAGCACACUCCGGGGCCACGUGUGCCCGUCAGCAUCACGCGCCAGCCCCCGCCUCCCCCAGCCGGAACCCGCGUGGCCAUGCGGGGUGGACUGCCCGGACUCCCGUUAACCCGUGCCGCGCGGUGGCCCUGUCACCCCUGAGGCUCUGGGGGCCCCCGGAAGAAGCCGCCACGCAAACGAGUGAUGACCGCACAGAGGCGAAACCGGCCCUCCAGCUGCUGGAGGACACCAAGCUCUUCUCUGCCUCAAGGCCCUUGCUCUCACGGUACACACUCUCCCUCUAGAAUCUUUCCCCUCAAUUCUCAAGGCUCUGCUCAAAUGGCCUAUAAGCCCUUGUCAUACCAGCUUUAUUAAAGUAGAGCAUUCCACA